rnacentral:rRNA from 1 species
GUCUAUAGCCAUGCUACCCUGAACAAGCCUGAUCUUAUCUGAUCUCAGAAGCUAAGCAGGGUUGGGCCUGGUUAGUUCUUGGAUGGGAGACCACCUAGGAAGACCAGGUGCUGUAGGCG